AAACCAACAGGGAUUGCCUUAGUAGCGGCGAGUGAAGCGGCAAAAGCUCAAAUUUGAAAUCUGGCACCUUCGGUGUCCGAGUUGUAAUUUGAAGAUUGUAACCUUGGGGUUGGCUCUUGUCUAUGUUUCUUGGAACAGGACGUCACAGAGGGUGAGAAUCCCGUGCGAUGAGAUGCCCAAUCCUAUGUAAGGUGCUUUCGAAGAGUCGAGUUGUUUGGGAAUGCAGCUCUAAGUGGGUGGUAAAUUCCAUCUAAAGCUAAAUAUUGGCGAGAGACCGAUAGCGAACAAGUACAGUGAUGGAAAGAUGAAAAGAACUUUGAAAAGAGAGUGAAAAAGUACGUGAAAUUGUUGAAAGGGAAGGGUUUGAGAUCAGACUCGAUAUUUUGUGAGCCUUGCCUUCGUGGCGGGGUGACCCGCAGCUUAUCGGGCCAGCAUCGGUUUGGGCGGUAGGAUAAUGGCGUAGGAAUGUGACUUUGCUUCGGUGAAGUGUUAUAGCCUGCGUUGAUGCUGCCUGCCUAGAC
rnacentral:rRNA from 2 species